AUUGGGGUAUCUUCUUUUUGGCUUGUGACUCCUUGUUUUUCUUGUUUUAUUAAUUCUUCCGCUCUAGUCAGCUGGUCAUCUAUAGUUUUUAGAUGUUGGUUUGUAAAGUUAUUUUGUCCAAUAAUAGUUUUGGCAUCUCUUCCAUUAGAUGUUUCUUGGGGUUUUGAUUUGAUCUUAAUAGGAGACGCUGUGAUUUGUGUUUGUAAUAGGGUUUGUUGCUGCUCCUCUCCAACUAAGGUGAUGUGGCACGUGCGAUGCGAUGUGGCAGCCGAUCGGC
rnacentral:lncRNA from 1 species